rnacentral:rRNA from 1 species
UACGUAGGGGGCAAGCGUUGUCCGGAAUCAUUGGGCGUAAAGAGCGUGUAGGCGGCUCGAUAAGUCUGCUGUGAAAGUCCAGGGCUCAACCCUGGAAGGCCGGUGGAAACUGUCGGGCUAGAGUCCGGAAGAGGCGAGUGGAAUUCCCGGUGUAGCGGUGAAAUGCGCAGAUAUCGGGAGGAACACCAAUGGCGAAGGCAGCUCUCUGGGACGGUACUGACGCUGAGACGCGAAAGCGUGGGGAGCGAACAGG